CCUUCUUGACGAAAUGCCCUUCUUACACGACGAUUCUCUUUUUCACAUACACAAACACACAGCACACACCGCCACGGUGUGCGCGACACGGAUUUUCGGUCUACGCUUUUUACCUAGCGCGUCCGUAUGCGUGUAUGUAUUGGUGCUUCAAUGCCGCUUUACUACAGCUGCUGCCGCCAGUACACCACAGUAACGCCGUUCACUACCACACCACCGAGCGCAAUAUGGUCUGCUUUACAACAGCAGGAGCAGCAAACAAAAAAAGCGGAUAAAGAAGAACGUGAAGCUGUGAUUUCCCGGCACCACCAUUCAACACGUGUCUUGUGGCGAAAGAAGGAUCUGUAGAGAAGGCAGGAAGUAUGAUUGACCGGAUAACCGGGUUGGCUUACUAUCGCGAUCGCGCAGAGUUCCUUACACAGGGUUUAUCCCAAGGCAGGAAAAAAAAAAAACAACAAAAUGAGAGCAGUGGCUUGCCCCCCGAAUGCAACACACCACGUUAUCAUCGAGUGCCAGGUGAUAUGGGAGUUGGGCACAAUAACAAGUCGCCAAAAGCGCCUACUCACCAUAGACGACGACUGUCCAAUGUUCGAUCGGACGGAUGGAGUUUGGCUAAAUCCAGAUUUUCUUCCUUCUGCGUUGCCGAAGGUUGGCUAGAUUUUUGGCGAUAGAAUUUCCUCCGCUCGAUGUUUUUUUGCUCCGGGGGAGGAGGCCGCACGGAUUCACACCAACCGUCCGUAAAUAUUCUUCUUCGUUUUCUUUUUUCGCCACCAAAGUUGGAACACGGAGAACACAGAUCCGUCGUCGACACUUAUCGCAGCAACAACCACCACCGAUACAAACUCACGCACAUAUAUUUAUAUUCACACAGAAGAAACGCGUUACGUUGCUAACUUAAGCACUAGGACACUAGGAACACAGCAAAGUAGGCACCGGAGGCAGAGAAGAAAACGGCUCUAGCUAACACGCCAAUCGGAAGAAUCGAACGCCCUAAAUGAUCACAGAUC